CCUACGGGAGGCAGCAGUGAGGAAUAUUGGACAAUGGGCGCAAGCCUGAUCCAGCCAUGCCGCGUGCAGGAUGACGGUCCUAUGGAUUGUAAACUGCUUUUGCACAGGAAGAAACAACUCUACGUGUAGAGUCUUGACGGUACUGUGAGAAUAAGGAUCGGCUAACUCCGUGCCAGCAGCCGCGGUAAUACGGAGGAUCCAAGCGUUAUCCGGAAUCAUUGGGUUUAAAGGGUCCGUAGGCGGUUUAGUAAGUCAGUGGUGAAAGCCCAUCGCUCAACGGUGGAACGGCCAUUGAUACUGCUAAACUUGAAUUAUUAGGAAGUAACUAGAAUAUGUAGUGUAGCGGUGAAAUGCUUAGAGAUUACAUGGAAUACCAAUUGCGAAGGCAGGUUACUACUAAUGGAUUGACGCUGAUGGACGAAAGCGUGGGUAGCGAACAGGAUUAGAUACCCCAGUAGUC
rnacentral:rRNA from 1 species